rnacentral:lncRNA from 1 species
UAUAACAUUAACUCUCUUUCAUUAGUGACCUUUCAUUAAGUUGAAUCAUUUCCUUUGGAAAUAAAAGAAAAUGCCUCAAUUGUUUUUGACAAUGGAUCCUUUGGUCUCAGAGAUUUUCUUUAAUAUUUCUUUCAAAAUUUCUUUUCCUCCAUUUUCAUAGGCCUCUUUUAUUACAACUUCUAUUAUACUGACCUCUGGAUUUUCCUUGUCUCCCGUAUUCUCCAUCUUUUUGUCUACUUUGUUUGAUAUUCUGAGAGGCCUCUUCAACUUUAUUUUUGGGACUGUGAGUUAGAUUUUGUGUUUACCUAUCAUUUUUUAUCUUUUUUGUUUUUUUAACUCUUUGACUUCCCUUUUUCAUAACAUCCUGCUCUUGUUUUAAGGAUAUAUUUUCAUAAAUCCAAGAGUAUACUUAUUUUUUUAAGCCCUGUAUGCUGGUCCCGUAUCUGUCUGUGUCCUC